UUGCAGUGUUGGCCACUGUCUCCAGGGAGCUGGUGGCCGAACCAGGACUGAGCCCACCUUCAGCCUCUCCUCACAGCCUCUCUCCUGCACCCGACCAGUGGCGAAUCUACCCAUCUGUGGCUGAGAAACUGAAGCACCUGUGAGGGCUGCUGGAGGUUGGAUCUCAGGAUUCCUCUUGGGUUUGAAGAGAACAGAGGGGAUUGCGUCAUGGGUGAGUGCUUAGCAGGCCAUGGACAGUGCUGGAAUUGUACUGCCAGGCAGCACCAUAGAAAUUCUGAUCCUGAAAAUGCCUUCUGUUUUUAUUGCACCCCUUGCAUUGCUUGCUGCCCUCCCACUACUUACAAAGUUAAGCUUUCUGCUGCCACCUGACUUUGCCUUUUGAAGAAUUAAAGAACAUACGGUCCUACAACCUGACUAAUAAAGAGAGUUGACAGCAGCUGGCCCCCGGAACUGGACAUACACAUCUGUUUCUAAAGGUUACACUUUGAAGGGAACACAACAGAGAGCUGAAUGAAAGACUCACCUGUAGUGUAGCACAAGCUUUUGACAACAUGGGGCACCAACAGUUGACUGGAAUGGAAAUUAAUUUGGAGAGACAACUCUCUCCUUGUGCCAAAGGAAAGUAACAGUGAUGGAAGUGGAUGCUGUCUUCACGGAUGCUCCUCCACUUGACCCCGCAUAGGCAGA